rnacentral:misc_RNA from 1 species
CAGUAUAGAGCCAAGGAU